AGAAGAGGUUGAAGUGGCUGGAGCACCGUUUGCCGCACGUGAUUGUUUUAUUAACUGUUAGCAGACGGGUGGGGUGAGCGGACGGGUGGGUUAGCAGACGGGUGGGGGUGGUGGGUCUGAAAUGUGUGGGGUGUUUCUAGGAUUGUUUUAGCUGUUCGCCUGUUAGCAGACGGCUGGGCUGGCUUACAAAUGCCAAUAUGCGUGGGUCUGUCACUGCUAAAAUGUUAGGUGGGGUGUUUCUAAGAAUAUUUGAACCCUUCGGCUGUUAACGAACAUCUAGGCUCCCCGACUGACUUACUCGUGUCACUGAACACUGAAAUCAUGCUACAGAAACAAUUGAAGAUGUACUUGUAAGAAGGCCACACAGUUUAGAAGGUGAAAGUGUCUGAUUUUGCUCACUAUUGGUAUUGGUGACUGGCGUGUGUGGUGAUGUAAUGAAUUGUCAAUGAUUAAAAUAGAAUAGGGAUGACAUUUUAAUUUAUCAUGCAAAGACGUACCCUGUAACAAUAAUUCAACUGAUAUGUUCACGAAGUAAGAAGUUCAGGGUUUUAAGUAAGCCAAGUAAACAAUAGUUGGAAAGGAAUAACCAAACUGUCGAAAGUGAUUGGAGUUAACCUAUAUUUAAAAGUCUAAAUCUAUGUUAAGAAUCCAGAAGUUUAAAUGCGUAUAGCAUAUUAUUGUUCCUUCACGCCAGUUAACAGCUGAUACAAGUGUUGUGGGGAAGGGCAGUGUCAGAGGUGGGCGGGAUGAUUGGGUUAUAUAACUUUGUUCAUGCCGAUAAUCAAGCGACGGAAUGCGUAGCGGGAGUACGAGGAGAGACAUGUACCGAUUAGCUUAUAUCGGGUGCACUCGCCCAAAAGUGUCCAGUGUGAAAGUUAACCUUGUAUGACUGUGAUGUUGAGGAAUUAUUUUGACCCCCUAAAAAUAGUAUCCAUGUCAAAAGUUCACCCAUUAAACUUAACCUUCGUAUAGUUUAAUGAAUACAACUUUAAGUAGCAUGAGUAUAUACGGUAGUUGUUGGGGAGGGGACGGGAAUGAAGGGGAGGACAAGAAAGAGGGGUGGGGUAUCAUGGAGGAAGAGGAGGAGAAGAGGUUAAGGAUAUCUGGAGUGGGUAUCAGGGGAGGGAUGAGAGGAGAGGAGAGGUUAUAGGGAUAUCAGGAGAGAGGAGAUCGGUUAGGGACUUCAGGAGGAGAGGAGAGGAGAGCUUAGGGACAUCAGGAGGAGAGAGGAGAGGAGAGCUUAGGGACAUCAGGAGGAGAGGAGAGCUUAGGGACAUCAGGAGGAGAGAGGAGAGGAGAGCUUAGGGACAUCAGGAGGAGAGGAGAGGAGAGCUUAGGGACAUCAGGAGGAGAGGAGAGGAGAGCUUAGGGACAUCAGGAGGAGAGAGGAGAGGAGAGCUUAGGGACAUCAGGAGGAGAGGAGAGCUUAGGGACAUCAGGAGGAGAGGAGAGGAGAGCUUCGGGACAUCAGGAGGAGAGAGGAGAGCUUAGGGACAUCUGGAGGAGAAGAGAGGAGAGCUUAGGGACAUCAGGAGGAGAGGAGAGGAGAGCUUAGGGACAUCAGGAGGAGAGGAGAGGAGAGCUUAGGGACAUCAGGAGGAGAGGAGAGGAGAGCUUAGGGACAUCAGGAGGAGAGGAGAGGAGAGCUUAGGGACAUCAGGAGGAGAGGGGAGAGGAGAGCUUCGGGACAUCAGGAGGAGAGGGGAGAGGAGAGCUUCGGGACAUCAGGAGGAGAGGAGAGGAGAGC